rnacentral:rRNA from 1 species
AUUGCUGGGUGGAUUAGUGGCGAACGGGUGAGUAACACGUGAGUAACCUGCCCUUAACUCUGGGAUAAGCCUGGGAAACUGGGUCUAAUACCGGAUAGGAGCGCCUACCGCAUGGUGGGUGUUGGAAAGAUUUAUCGGUUUUGGAUGGACUCGCGGCCUAUCAGCUUGUUGGUGAGGUAAUGGCUCACCAAGGCGACGACGGGUAGCCGGCCUGAGAGGGUGACCGGCCACACUGGGACUGAGACACGGCCCAGACUCCUACGGGAGGCAGCAGUGGGGAAUAUUGCACAAUGGGCGCAAGCCUGAUGCAGCGACGCCGCGUGAGGGAUGACGGCCUUCGGGUUGUAAACCUCUUUCAGUAGGGAAGAAGCGAAAGUGACGGUACCUGCAGAAGAAGCACCGGCUAACUACGUGCCAGCAGCCGCGGUAAUACGUAGGGUGCGAGCGUUAUCCGGAAUUAUUGGGCGUAAAGAGCUCGUAGGCGGUUUGUCGCGUCUGUCGUGAAAGUCCGGGGCUUAACCCCGGAUCUGCGGUGGGUACGGGCAGACUAGAGUGCAGUAGGGGAGACUGGAAUUCCUGGUGUAGCGGUGGAAUGCGCAGAUAUCAGGAGGAACACCGAUGGCGAAGGCAGGUCUCUGGGCUGUAACUGACGCUGAGGAGCGAAAGCAUGGGGAGCGAACAGGAUUAGAUACCCUGGUAGUCCAUGCCGUAAACGUUGGGCACUAGGUGUGGGGACCAUUCCACGGUUUCCGCGCCGCAGCUAACGCAUUAAGUGCCCCGCCUGGGGAGUACGGCCGCAAGGCUAAAACUCAAAGGAAUUGACGGGGGCCCGCACAAGCGGCGGAGCAUGCGGAUUAAUUCGAUGCAACGCGAAGAACCUUACCAAGGCUUGACAUGUUCUCGAUCGCCGUAGAGAUACGGUUUCCCCUUUGGGGCGGGUUCACAGGUGGUGCAUGGUUGUCGUCAGCUCGUGUCGUGAGAUGUUGGGUUAAGUCCCGCAACGAGCGCAACCCUCGUUCCAUGUUGCCAGCACGUCAUGGUGGGGACUCAUGGAAGACUGCCGGGGUCAACUCCGGAGGAAGGUGAGGACGACGUCAAAUCAUCAUGGCCCCUUAUGGCUUGGGGCUUCCCGCAUGGCUACAAUGGGCCGGUACAAUGGGGUUGCGAA